CCAGGCAGGGUAGAGGUCCCUUCACACUCACAUCUGGAGCUCUUACUCCUUCUCCAAAACCUCCCACCUGUCUCCAGCUCAGAGCCGAGCAUGAUGACAGGGGACGGGGAACUUGUUCUGCCUUUUCAUUUCCUCCUUGAAAUAUCUUCUUUCUUAUACCUGUAGGCCUAGACCAGGCAGCUUGUCCUUCAGAGCUGAGUAUUUGCCAUCUGUUUCAAGCUGGCCCAUUUCUGGCAUCUACCCCUGGGGCAAACGGUGGCCUCCA
rnacentral:lncRNA from 1 species